rnacentral:lncRNA from 1 species
AGGGGGCAGCCGGGGGGGCUGGCCCCCCACCCGGGGCCGUGGGUGGCGAUAACGGCUGGGGACAUCCUGCCUGGCCCCAUAGGAUUUUCACCCUGAGAAGGGCUGUGGGGCUGGGGGGGUCGCCUUGUCCCUGCGGGGGCUGGUUCCCCCUUCCCACCGCGAUGCCCCCUGUGGUGCCCGUGGCCGGGGGUGCGUGGGGGUGGUUUCUCUGCGGCCCCCCCUCCUCACCCCGGUCUCGCUCCCCCCAUUGUCUCGGGGCUGCUCGACCUUUCCGCUGGCGCGAGGGGCCUUUGUCUGCAGCUGGGGACUCCCACUGCCUCUGCGGGGGGGUGUCCUGCCUUCGGAGCCCCCCCGAGCAGCCAGGGACUGUGUCCCCCAGCGUCCGGUGCCAUCCCCUUAGCGCAGGGUCGUCCCCCCCCAAAUCUGGGGGGCUGUGCUGCCCCGAGCAGGGUGUCUUUGGGCACUCUCCCCCCGCCUCACCCCGCACCCCCCUCCCAGUAUUCCCAGUAUUCCCAGUCCUGCUCUGGGGGGGUACAGCUCUGGCUGGACGUGCGGCCGCGGUGCUGCCAGGCUGGGGCACCUCCAGGCUCUGGUCACGGUGACCGUGACCCGGCGGGCGCGUGGGCGGCGGGUGCUGGCGGGGAUCCCUGGCAGGGUGCCCCGCUCCCUACGUCACGCCGAGGUGCCGUGUCUCCCCGGGCCCAGGUUUGCCAGCCCAUGGCACGCCGGUACCGGUGUCGGGGGGAGGGGGGGGAAGGGGGGGGUGCCGUGCCUCAGUUUCCCCAGAGACGGCCUGGCGGCUGGGCUGUGCCCGCUGGGGCUGGCCCCGAGGUGCUGGCUGCUGGCCCGGCGCCGGCACUGCCCUGCCCGGCGGGACGCCGUCUCGUUGGCGCGGGGGCAAGAACCGCUCUUCGGGGGGGCGCAGGAGGCUGCCCGCCGCUGCAGCAGGGCCUGGGGACGCUGCUGGGGAAACUGAGGCACAAGGUGGUCUCUCAUGGUGGCGGAGGGUCUCGUAGGAGCCCACCGAAGCAGUGGGCACCCUGUGCCCAUGUGGGUCUGCAUCCUGUGGGGGUUUUGUGGGGUGCUGUGGGGGUCUCGGGGGGUAAGUUGGGUUGGGGUGUGCACGGUCACUGCCCCACCGGACACGGGGUGGCCCCGGUGUCGCCUCACGCGAGCCGUGCUCGGGCACCCCGUGCUGGCCGGUGGCACGCAGCCAGCGCAGCGCUGCGGCACGGCGCGGUGGCACGGCAGAUGGGCACAUCGGGGUGAGGGGGGGGAUCCCUGGGCCCUGGUGCUGGCUGGGGGGGGGGGGGGACCCCGGGGCUGGCUGGGGGGGGGGCCCAGGGGGGGCCGGGGGGGGGGG